rnacentral:rRNA from 1 species
GUAGGUGGCAAGCGUUGUCCGGAAUUAUUGGGCGUAAAGCGCGCGCAGGCGGUUCUUUAAGUCUGAUGUGAAAGCCCACGGCUCAACCGUGGAGGGUCAUUGGAAACUGGAGAACUUGAGUACAGAAGAGGAAAGCGGAAUUCCACGUGUAGCGGUGAAAUGCGUAGAGACGUGGAGGAACACCAGUGGCGAAGGCGGCUUUCUGGUCUGUAACUGACGCUGAGGCGCGAAAGCGUGGGGGGCAAACAGGAUUAGAUACCCUGGUAGUCCACGCCGUAAACGAUGAGUGCUAAGUGUUAGGGGGUUUCCCGCCCCCCUUAGUGCUGCAGCUAACGCAUUAAGCACUCCGCCUGGGGAGUACGGCCGCAAGGCUG